ACGACUCUCGGCAACGGAUAUCUCGGCUCUCGCAUCGAUGAAGAACGUAGCGAAAUGCGAUACUUGGUGUGAAUUGCAGAAUCCCGUGAACCAUCGAGUCUUUGAACGCAAGUUGCGCCCGAGGCCCUCGGGCCGAGGGCACGCCUGCCUGGGUGUCACGC
rnacentral:rRNA from 1 species